GACGAACGCUGGCGGCGUGCCUAAUACAUGCAAGUAGAACGCUGAAGGAGGAGCUUGCUCUUCUGGAUGAGUUGCGAACGGGUGAGUAACGCGUAGGUAACCUGCCUGGUAGCGGGGGAUAACUAUUGGAAACGAUAGCUAAUACCGCAUAACAGUAGAUGUUGCAUGACAUUUGCUUAAAAGGUGCAAUUGCACCACUACCAGAUGGACCUGCGUUGUAUUAGCUAGUUGGUGGGGUAACGGCUCACCAAGGCGACGAUACAUAGCCGACCUGAGAGGGUGAUCGGCCACACUGGGAAUGAGACACGGCCCAGACUCCUACGGGAGGCAGCAGUAGGGAAUCUUCGGCAAUGGACGGAAGUCUGACCGAGCAACGCCGCGUGAGUGAAGAAGGUUUUCGGAUCGUAAAGCUCUGCUGUAAGGGAAGAACGAGUGUGAGAGUGGAAAGUUCACACUGUGACGGUAUCUUACCAGAAAGGGACGGCUAACUACGUG
rnacentral:rRNA from 1 species